UCCAAGUCUAGGGCUUCAUCAUACCUUGUA
rnacentral:piRNA from 1 species